rnacentral:rRNA from 1 species
UACGUAGGGUGCAAGCGUUGUCCGGAAUUAUUGGGCGUAAAGAGCUUGUAGGCGGUUUGUCGCGUCUGCUGUGAAAUUUCGGGGCUCAACCCCGAACUUGCAGUGGGUACGGGCAGACUAGAGUGUGGUAGGGGAGACUGGAAUUCCUGGUGUAGCGGUGAAAUGCGCAGAUAUCAGGAGGAACACCGAUGGCGAAGGCAGGUCUCUGGGCCAUAACUGACGCUGAGAAGCGAAAAGCAUGGGGGGGCGAACAGG